rnacentral:rRNA from 1 species
GACGAACGCUGGCGGCGUGCUUAACACAUGCAAGUCGAACGGAAAGGCCCUGCUUUUGUGGGGUGCUCGAGUGGCGAACGGGUGAGUAACACGUGAGUAACCUGCCCUUGACUUUGGGAUAACUUCAGGAAACUGGGGUUAAUACCGGAUAGGAGCUCCUGCUGCAUGGUGGGGGUUGGAAAGUUUCGGCGGUUGGGGAUGGACUCGCGGCUUAUCAGCUUGUUGGUGGGGUAGUGGCUUACCAAGGCUUUGACGGGUAGCCGGCCUGGGAGGGUGACCGGGCACAUUGGGACUGAGAUACGGCCCAGACUCCUACGGGAGGCAGCAGUGGGGAAUAUUGCACAAUGGGCGGAAGCCUGAUGCAGCAGCGCCGCGUGCGGGAUGACGGCCUUCGGGUUGUAAACCGCUUUCGCCUGUGACGAAGCGUGAGUGACGGUAAUGGGUAAAGAAGCACCGGCUAACUACGUG